rnacentral:tRNA from 1 species
AGUCCUGUAGCUCAGUGGUUAGAGCACUUGCCUCGAAAGCAAGAGACCUGGGCUUGAUUCCCGGCAGGGUGA